UGAUGAAGAUUAUAUAAGAGUAUAUAAAAGCUAUCAUUUGAAAAUUGAAAUAUAAAUACAAGAUAAGCGUUAAUGUGUGUGGUACCGUAAGACUGCAUAUAUAUAAGCGAAAUACCGAUCAGACUCAGGUCUGAUAAGUUGUCACAUGUUUAAAGCUGCUUUAUCGUCACAGCCAGGCGUUUCUCGCUAUUGUCGCAAAAGCGUAUCGACGACAGUUCAAACGUUCACGAAUAUUUCCGAAGUAUGUGCUCGAGCAUUCCAAAAUAAAUAUUCUGAAUGAUCAUUGAAAAUGUUCCUCUAGCUGCUCGAUCAUUUGCAAUAAUCUUGGCAAAAGACGCAAUAGCAAAAGAACGCAACGCAAUUUUCGUGCAACAACCAAACCGGGCUGGGCUGUCUUCUUCUCACGCAUUUUUCGUAGUACGGUGUUCUUUCAAAAAAAUGAAAACCGAUGAGGUUUCGAGGCACGAAAAUGUUUAACCUAUUUCGAUCCGCAUAAAAACGUAAGCACACUGAGAUCAGUGUUCAAUCAAUCGAAAUGA